GUUGAGCUUCAGUUACAUUGAUUCCAGCCUGCUCAGCUUGAUUACUGCCUUGGUUACUUAUCAUAUUACACAAGCAUUCUGAGUCUGAUUUUAUCACAUUUUCUAGAGGAUUGCAGCAACUACUGGGUACAUCUUUUGUUCCAUUAAGAUAGUUGAGGCAGGGAACUAGCUGGUUUAGGCAUGAGGUGUCUUGACUACAUCCUUCUGGCACCAAAAUGCCAAAAACUAGUAGAGAUAUUGCAAGAAUCCCCCAGCUGCUGCUUCCCCAAAUCUUGCCCAUCUUUUUGUUUUCUUUUUGUGUGUUCACAGCAGAUACCUUUUACGUGGGGGUAUAUAUAUAGAGUGUCAGAGAGGGAUGUUUGAAUCUGAAG
rnacentral:misc_RNA from 1 species